AAAUGAAUAGACGGGGACCCGCACAAGCGGUGGAGCAUGUGGCUUAAUUCGAUGCAACGCGAAGAACCUUACCUGGGCUUGACAUGUUAGUCGUAGACUUGCGAAAGCUUGUCGUCACUUCGGGUGGACUAUCACAGGUGCUGCAUGGCUGUCGUCAGCUCGUGUCGUGAGAUGUUGGGUUAAGUCCCGUAACGAGCGCAACCCCUAUGAACUGUUGCCAGCGGGUAAUGCCGGGGACUCUGUUCAGACUGCCCAGAUUAACUGGGAGGAAGGAGGGGAUGACGUCAAGUCAGUAUGGCCCUUACGCCCAGGGCUGCACACGUGCUACAAUGUCCAGUACAAUGUGAACCGAUACCGCGAGGUGGAGGAAAUCCUUAAAACUGGGCUCAGUUCGGAUUGUAGGCUGCAACUCGCCUACAUGAAGUUGGAAUCGCUAGUAAUGGCGCAUCAGCUACGGCGCCGUGAAUACGUUCCCGGGUCUUGUACACACCGCCCGU
rnacentral:rRNA from 1 species